UACGGAGGGUGCAAGCGUUAUCCGGAUUUAUUGGGUUUAAAGGGUCCGUAGGCGGAUCUAUAAGUCAGUGGUGAAAUCCUGCAGCUUAACUGUAGAACUGCCAUUGAUACUGUAGAUCUUGAAUUCGGUUGAAGUGGGCGGAAUAUGACAUGUAGCGGUGAAAUGCUUAGAUAUGUCAUAGAACACCGAUUGCGAAGGCAGCUCACUAAGCCUGGAUUGACGCUGAGGGACGAAAGCGUGGGUAGCGAACAGGAUUAGAAACCCGCGUAGUCC
rnacentral:rRNA from 1 species